AGCGUCAGACGGGGAAUUGGUA
rnacentral:miRNA from 12 species